AGACAGAAGCUCUCUGCAGAGUGAUCAAGACAAAGGUCAGAAAGAAAAGGAGUUUGCAAAGAAGCAUUUCAAGCCAAGGAUGAUUGUCCAUCCACGCUUUGAAAACAUAACUGCUGAUGAAGCAAUGGAGAAGGGCAGGAUGAAUAUGAAAAUGAUGGAUUUAUAGUGGAUGAUGUUGAAGAUGAAGAUGAGCAAGAUGAAGAAGAGAGGACAGAAAGUGAUGAUGACCGGCAGAAGAAGAAAAAGCGGAAGAAAAAGGUGGAGUAUGUCCUUGAUGAAGAUGAUUAUGACUUGUUGAAGGAUAAUAACAUCAAUAUUCAUCGUCGGAAGG